rnacentral:rRNA from 1 species
UACGUAGGCAGCGAGCGUUGUUCGGAGUUACUGGGCGUAAAGGGUGCGUAGGCGGUUGUUUAAGUUUGGUGUGAAAUCUCCUGGCUCAACUGGGAGCUUGCAGGCGAAACUGCCGUGCUGGAGUGUGGGAGAGGUGCGUGGAAUUCCUGGUGUAGCGGUGAAAUGCGUAGAGAUCGGGAGGAACACCAGUGGCGAAGGCGGCUACCUGGACCAGCAUUGACACUCAAGCACGAAAGCGUGGGGAGCAAACAGG